rnacentral:rRNA from 1 species
UACGGAGGGUGCGAGCGUUAAUCGGAAUAGCUGGGCGUAAAGGGCACGCAGGCGGGCCUUUAAGUGAGAUGUGAAAUCCCCGGGCUUAACCUGGGAAUAGCAUUUCAGACUGGGAGUCUAGAGUACUUUAGGGAGGGGUAGAAUUCCACGUGUAGCGGUGAAAUGCGUAGAGAUGUGAAGGAAUACCGAAGGCGAAGGCAGCCCCUUGGGAAUGUACUGACGCUCAUGUGCGAAGGCGUGGGGAGCAAACAGG